GAUGAACGCUAGCUACAGGCUUAACACAUGCAAGUCGCAGGGUAACAUGAGGACAGCUUGCUUUCCUUGAUGACGACUGGCGCACGGGUGAAUAACGCGUAUCCAACCUUCCCAUAACUACGGGAUAACCCGUUGAAAGACGGCCUAAUACCGUAUGAUAUCGUUUGCUGACAUCAAAUAACGAUUAAAGGUUUAGCGGUUAUGGAUGGGGAUGCGUCUGAUUAGCUUGUUGGCGGGGUAACGGCCCACCAAGGCGACGAUCAGUAGGGGUUCUGAGAGGAAGGUCCCCCACAUUGGAACUGAGACACGGUCCAAACUCCUACGGGAGGCAGCAGUGAGGAAGAUUGGUCAAGGGGCGAGAGCCUGAACCAGCCAAGUAGCGUGCAGGACGACGGCCCUAGGGGUUGUAAACUGCUUUUAUGUGGGGAUAAAGUGCGUGACGUGUCAUGCAUUGCAGGUACCACAUGAAUAAGGACCGGCUAAUUCCGUG
rnacentral:rRNA from 1 species